rnacentral:rRNA from 1 species
AUAUCAAUAAGCGGAGGAAAAGAAACCAACAGGGAUUGCCUCAGUAACGGCGAGUGAAGCGGCAACAGCUCAAAUUUGAAAUCUGGCCUUCCGGUCCGAGUUGUAAUUUGCAGAGGAUGCUUCGGGCGCGGUGCCUUCCAAGUCCCCUGGAACGGGGCGCCGGAGAGGGUGAGAGCCCCGUACGGUUGGCGGCCAAGCCUGUGUGAAGCUCCUUCGACGAGUCGAGUAGUUUGGGAAUGCUGCUCUAAGCGGGAGGUAGACCCCUUCUAAAGCUAAAUACCGGCCAGAGACCGAUAGCGCACAAGUAGAGUGAUCGAAAGAUGAAAAGCACUUUGAAAAGAGGGUUAAACAGCAC